UUUAAUCCAGACCCUUUAGGACGACAUGAAGAACCAGUAUGUGUGAUACUGUAUGGAGGAGGCUUAGAAAAGUGGCCUCAGAAAUGGACUGACUGCAUAGUGGGAUCUAACCCGUCGAUCGAGGCGGAAAGCCUCUCGACGCGGAAAAAGAAAAGCCCUAUGAAUGGACUCUUUACACCGACGGGUCAAAAAAGGAAGGAGACCAGAAUGCCCACUGGGGUUUUAUUCUGAAACAAAAUGGAGAGGAGCGUUGCCGCCGCAAAGGUAGGACACCCGGCAGCGCGCAGGCAGGAGAAGCUACGGCAGUGCUGGAAGGACUGUUAGAA